rnacentral:rRNA from 1 species
GAUGAACGCUAGCGAUAGGCUUAACACAUGCAAGUCGAGGGGCAGCAUGAUCUUAGCUUGCUAAGGUCGAUGGCGACCGGCGCACGGGUGCGUAACGCGUAUGCAACUUGCCUUACAGAGGGGGAUAACCCGUUGAAAGACGGACUAAAACCGCAUACACUUGUAUUAUUGCAUGAUAUUACAAGGAAAUAUUUAUAGCUGUAAGAUAGGCAUGCGUCCCAUUAGCUGGUUGGUGAGGUAACGGCUCACCAAGGCGACGAUGGGUAGGGGAACUGAGAGGUUUAUCCCCCACACUGGUACUGAGACACGGACCAGACUCCUACGGGAGGCAGCAGUGAGGAAUAUUGGUCAAUGGGCGAGAGCCUGAACCAGCCAAGUCGCGUGAAGGAAGACAGUCCUAAGGAUUGUAAACUUCUUUUAUACGGGAAUAACGGGCGAUACGAGUAUUGCAUUGAAUGUACCGUAAGAAUAAGCAUCGGCUAACUACGUGCCAGCAGCCGCGGUAAUACGUAGGUGGCAAGCGUUGUCCGGAAUUAUUGGGCGUAAAGCGCGCGCAGGCGGUUUCUUAAGUCCAUCUUAAAAGCGUGGGGCUCAACCCCAUGAGGGGAUGGAAACUGGGAAGCUGGAGUAUCGGAGAGGAAAGUGGAAUUCCUAGUGUAGCGGUGAAAUGCGUAGAGAUUAGGAAGAACACCGGUGGCGAAGGCGACUUUCUAGACGAAAACUGACGCUGAGGCGCGAAAGCGUGGGGAGCAAACAGG